UAAUAAUUGAUAAUUGUUCUUACUUGAUUUCUCAUUAAUUUUAAUUAUUCUUUUAAUUUCUAAUUGAUUUUGAUUAUUUCUUAUUCUCCAAUAUUUUAGCUAAUUUAUUUCUCUGUUUCUUGUUCUUGGUCUUUGUUUUUGUCUUUGUCUCUUUGGUUCUGUGUUUUUAUCACCUUUCUUAACGGCUAAACAACCAACAAUACAUGGAGAUAUUACUGUACUUUUGUAUAGAAUAUUAUUCCUGAAUAAUUACCAAUUCAAAUCAAAGAAAUUACGAAAUGGAUGGAGUAUAAAAAAAAGUGUCUACCCUAAUAUCAAGUGGAAUAACAAGUGAUGGAAAAAAAGAAGGAGAUGGUGAUAAACAAAUGGAAUACAAGUAGAUAAAACAAAAAGAAAGGAUGGAGAUAAUAGACAUUUCCAAAUGACAAGUAUUCAACAAACGAUUUGGUAAACAGAGGAUAGAAAGAGAGGGAGAUAAGAUCACGGACAGAAGAGAGAGAGAGAGAGAGAGAGAGAGAGAUGAUGAAACAAUAUCAACAUCAAUAUAAAAAGUGUUCGUCUCCAUUGAAGCAAACUUGUUGCUGAUUUUACCUGGAAAAUGAUAAAGAAUCAUCACAAUGAGAAGGAGAAGAAGCAAAAAAGAUGAGUAAGAGAGAUGGAGGGAGAGAGAGAGAGAAAUAAAAAACGGACACACUGAUAUAAAGAAAAGGAGCGCCAAGAGGGAGUGAAGCAAAUAACAACAUCAACACAUCUCAAGUAGACAAGCAGAAUAAUAAUAGUAAACAACAACAACAACAACAAAAAAGACUCUAAAAAGAAAGAUUCUCCCUUUUUCUAUCUCUCUAUCGAACUGAAUUUUGGUUAACAAACUGUAUACAUAAGUACAGUUCUACAUCGGGAAUGUAGUGCAUAAAAUUAGAUCAUUAAGAAGAUGCCAAAAUAGAUGGAAAAAGAUGAUUGUUGGUCUUUUUUUGGUCUUGGAUGCGUUGAUAACGAUGACGACGUUCUGAGCGAACUCGUUAUGCUAAAAAGAUUUACUUUUUCAUGCAAUUCUGAAAACUCUUUCUUAUCAUUAUCUCAACUUGAACUAUCCGUUUCGUUCCGUUCUGAUCAUUUUUCAAGUUCCGUUUACGUUUCUUUCAAGUUUUACUUUUUUUUCAAAGUCGAAAUUAACUUCCAAGUUCAUUUUGUUUAUAUUUACUUAAAAUACCAGAAAAGCAAAACUUGAUGUAAAUAUAGUUCUCGAGUUGCUUGAUAAUCAUUUGCAUCCUUAUAUUAAGCGAAAAGUAUCCAAUUUAUUAACUGAAUUAACUUUAAUUGGUGACAAUUUAUUUCAAUUUUCUUCUCAUCAAAAGAGAGACACGAAAAAAAACUACCAACUAUCAUUUACUUGAACAAGUUAAUUGCUAGAAACAAGAUGAUGAUGAAGAUAAUUCUCCAGCUGAUGAUAAAAGACGAUGAUGAUGAUGAUCUAACGAUAUAAACAAACAAUUGGUUUAGUAGUUUAUGAUUGGAAACUGAUGAAAGGCGUUGUUGGUGACUUGUUAUUUCAACCAUGAUUCCCUGAUUUUUUUUUCCAAUUUCAUUCAUUCAUCAUGAGAUAGCCUUUAAUGACGAUCGGGAUGAUAAGUGGAGAGAAGAGAAAGAGAAAAAAGAAAGAUAGAAUUGGAAGAAAACGGAUGACAUGGACGAAAUGAGGUCAUUAAAUCAUUGAGAUGAUAGGCCAGAUACAGGAUAAGAUGAAAUGAAUAUGAUGAUGAUAAUGGUGAGUGAGAUGAAAAGAAAAGGAGUAAGAAAGAAGAUGAUGACAAUCAGCUGAACUUGAUUCUUAAAACCCUGACCUUGAUUAUCGUUAAGGAAAAACGGUAAUCUUCCAAUUUUCUUCUUCUUCUUUAUUCGUAUUAUUAUCAUUUCACAUUAUUCUCACUAAAAUCUCACCCUCUUUUGUCUUCUUCUUCUUCUUCAUCAUCUUCUUUCUUUCUCAUCUUCAUGAUGAAUGGAAGAAAAGAAGGAGUGAGAAUAACGUGUUUUUACUUUUAAAAUUUUUUCUCUCAAAAACGAUCUCUUAACCUACUUUACGUGCCAAUUGUAUCUCAACCACUUCGAAAACAAUCACAAACCUCGAAGAGACAAUUUCCAAAUCCAGACAAUCUACUAACGGAUUAACCGUUAAUCUUUGCUCAUCAUCAUCAUCGUCAUAAUCAUUAUCAUCCAAGAUGAUCUUCUCAAACCAUUUAACUUUCAUGUUACUUUCGUCGUCAACGAUUUAUUAAUCUAUUGGUACAUUAACCAAACUACUAACUCGUUAGCACUUUUAGUAACCGUGUCUGUCACACGUCAACUGAUUAAAAACAACAACAAUUUGCGAGCAACAAUUAAAAUCCGUCAACAGUGAAUCUUUUUUACUUUUAACAAUCAAUUCUAAUUCUAAUCAUUUAUAUAUAUAUUUUCUUUUUAAUUCAUCUAACAAUUAACUCUCCUAAUAACCGUUUCUACAAUCAAAUUGCCAUUUCAAGUUUACUUGAUUCUACUAUUAAUCUAAUAUAUACACAAUUAAUAUUCAAAGAGGAAAAAAAAAUUGCUAGUUAAUGAUUAAAGUUGACAAUUAACUUAAUCAUUUCCAAUCAUCAUCAUCAUCAACAUGACGAUGAUACAUUUAAAUGAUAAACAAAAGGCUUUAAAAUUGAAUAAAUAUUUGAAUUGAGUUAAUUAUUGUUGAUUGUUGAACCAUCGAUUAUUAGUUUAAUCUAAAUAUGUAUCAUCAACUAAUUACAAUUAAUUUCUUACUUGAAAUCAAAAAUUUUGCAAUUGAUUUGAAAUUAAAUUGUGAUUCUAUUUACAAACCAAUUUAAUUUAACAU